rnacentral:misc_RNA from 1 species
AAGACUAUAGACCUGCGGAGUACCUGCGGAAGGAUCAUUACCAAGAGAAAUCUUUCAACACUGAAAGAUCUUUUCCUUUGUGCUGGCUUUGACCGUAUGUAAUUUUGGGACUUUAAAAUGGUUCGCAAGGGCCGGUCCCAAAAACAAUAUAUCAUCCUUAUGAAAUUUUUUCUGAACAAUUAAACAAAUGAUUUUAAUAAUCUGUUUAAAACAACUUUCAGCAACGGAUCUCUAGAUCGG